rnacentral:rRNA from 1 species
GAUGAACGCUGGCGGCGUGCCUAAUACAUGCAAGUCGAGCGAACGGACGAUAAGCUUGUGCCUCUGAUGUUAGCGGCGGACGGGCGAGUAACACGUGGAUCACCUACUUAUAUUACUGGGAUAACUUCGGAAACCGACUCUAACUCCUGCCGCUUUUUUGCACCGGGUGGUUCCAAAGUAUAUUACGACCUUGCUGUCUCUUAUGAGCGGAUCCGCGCUGCAUUAGCUAGUUGGUAAGGUAACGGCCUACCAAGGCAACGAUGCGUAGCCGACCUGAGAGGGUGAUCGGCCACACUGGAACUGAGACACGGUCCAGACUCCUACGGGAGGCAGCAGUAGGGAAUCUUCCGCAAUGGGCGAAAGCCUGACGGAGCCACGCCGCGUGGGUGAUGAAGGUCUUCGGGUCGUAAAGCUCUGUUAUUAGGGAAGAACAUAUGUGUAAGUAACUGUGGACAUCUUGACGGUACCUAAUGAGAAAGCCACGGCUAACUACGUG